rnacentral:lncRNA from 1 species
CUUUCUCCUCUCCUGCCCAGAGACUGUUCAGGUGGGGUGAGCAUAUGGAAUAAACGUCUUUCAAAAUCAACUGAAAUUGCCUCCCUCCGUCUCUUCCACCACAGCCCGCCAGGGCGCUUUAUGGCAAAUUGGCGG